GGUCGGGUCCUGUGCAACGAGUGCCCGAGAAUCAGGUCAGAGCCGGAAGGCAGCAGCCUUCAUCGGAACCAUUUGAGUGCCGCAGAUCGCCUGGCCGUC
rfam:Acidimicrobium sp. BACL17 MAG-120823-bin4 contig01039_1_120823-bin4, whole genome shotgun sequence.